UACAGAGGGUGCAAGCGCUGUUCGGAAUUAUUGGGCGUAAAGCGCGUGUAGGCGGCUUUGCAAGUCGGGUGGUGAAAUCCCUCAGCUCAACUGAGGAAGUGCGCCCGAAACUGCAGAGCUUGAGUACCGGAGAGGAUGGUGGAAUUCCCCAAGUAGAGGUGAAAAUUCGUAGAUAUGGGGAGGAACACCGGUGGCGAAGGCGACCAUCUGGACGGAUACUGACGCUGAGGAGCGAAAAGCGUGGGGAGCGAACAGG
rnacentral:rRNA from 1 species